AACUUUUAUUGCAAUAAGCAAUUAUAAAAAGGCCCUUAUAUAUAAUUACUAUGUUGAAUGAUGCCUAGAAAGGGAAGCAAUUGAAAAAUACCAAGAUAUUGUAACACAAAAUUCGACAAUCUGAUUGGUCAAUUUUCUCAUGCCUAGUAAUAUGAAUAUUUAUGAAAAUGUAACGACAAUACAAUAUUUCGUGCUUUACUA
rnacentral:lncRNA from 1 species